ensembl:snRNA U4 U4 spliceosomal RNA
AGCUUCAUGCAGUGACAGCAUGGUAGCCAGUGAGGCUUAUCUGAGGCACUGAUGAUUGCUAAUUGAAAACUUUUCCAAUACCCCACCAUGACGACUUGAAAUAUAGUUGUCAUUACCAUUUCUUUUUAGAUGUUAUAACAU